CCAGCAGCCGCGGUAAUUCCAGCUCCAAUAGCGUAUAUUUAAGUUGCUGCAGUUAAAAAGCUCGUAGUUGGAUUUCGGGUGGGGCCUGCCGGUCCGCCGUUUCGGUGUGCACUGGCCGGGCCCACCUUGGUGCCGGGGACGGGCUCCUGGGCUUGACUGUCCGGGACUAGGAGCCGACGAAGUUACUUUGAGUAAAUUAGAGUGUUCAAAGCAAGCCUACGCUCUGAAUAUAUUAGCAUGGAAUAACACGAUAGGACUCUGGCUUAUCUUGUUGGUCUGUGAGACCAGAGUAAUGAUUAAGAGGGACAGUCGGGGACAUUCGUAUUUCAUUGUCAGAGGUGAAAUUCUUGGAUUUAUGAAAGACGAACUUCUGCGAAAGCAUUUGUCAAGGAUGUUUUCAUUAAUCAAGAACGAAAGU
rnacentral:rRNA from 1 species